UGGGGAAUAUUGGGCAAUGGGCGCAAGCCUGACCCAGCAACGCCGCGUGAAGGAAGAAGGCUUUCGGGUUGUAAACUUCUUUUCUCAGGGACGAAUAGAUGACGGUACCUGAGGAAUAAGCCACGGCUAACUACGUGCCAGCAGCCGCGGUAAUACGUAGGUGGCGAGCGUUAUCCGGAUUUACUGGGUGUAAAGGGCGUGUAGGCGGGGAAGCAAGUCAGAUGUAACGAAACGACGGCAUCCAACUGUGGCCUGCAUUUGAAACUGUUUUUCUUGAGUACUGGAGAGGCAGACGGAAUUCCUAGUGUAGCGGUGAAAUGCGUAGAUAUUAGGAGGAACACCAGUGGCGAAGGCGGUCUGCUGGACAGCAACUGACGCUGAGGCGCGAAAGCGUGGGGAGCAAACAGGAUUAGAUACC
rnacentral:rRNA from 1 species